rnacentral:rRNA from 1 species
CAGCCGCCGCGGUAAUACGAAGGGGGCUAGCGUUGCUCGGAAUCACUGGGCGUAAAGGGUGCGUAGGCGGGUUUUUAAGUCAGAGGUGAAAUCCUGGAGCUCAACUCCAGAACUGCCUUUGAUACUGAAAGUCUUGAGUUCGGGAGAGGUGAGUGGAACUGCGAGUGUAGAGGUGAAAUCCGUAGAUAUUCGCAAGAACACUAGUGGCGAAGGCGGCUCACUGGCCCGAUACUGACGCUGAGGCACGAAAGCGUGGGGAGCAAACAGGAUUAGAUACCCCCGUAGUCCCUGUCUCUUAUAC